rnacentral:rRNA from 1 species
AGAAUCAACGCUGGCGGCGUGCCUAACACAUGCAAGUCGAACGAGAAAGUGGAGCAAUCCAUGAGUAAAGUGGCGACCGGGUGAGUAACACGUGACUAACCUACCUUUUAGUGGGGGAUAACCUCGGGAAACCGAGGCUAAUACCGCAUAACAUCGCAAGAUCAAAGCAGCAAUGCGCUGGAAGAGGGGGUCGCGGCUGAUUAGCUAGUUGGCGGGUAACGGCCCACCAAGGCGAAGAUCGGUAUCCGGCCUGAGAGGGCGCACGGACACACUGGAACUGAAACACGGUCCAGACUCCUACGGGAGGCAGCAGUGGGGAAUUUUGCGCAAUGGGGGAAACCCUGACGCAGCAACGCCGCGUGGAGGAUGAAGCCCCUUGGGGCGUAAACUCCUUUCGACCAAGACGAUAAUGACGGUACUGGUGGAAGAAGCACCGGCUAACUCUGCGCCAGCAGCCGC